rnacentral:lncRNA from 1 species
AAAGAAGUUCAGGAUCCACCCUUACCUCCUUAAGAACUUGAGGAUGAGUGAUCCUAACGUGGAGAUAUGAAGAAAACCUCUUCCAAAGCUCCAAACUUCCAAACUUGCUAUUUUUGCUCAAAACCUUCAAAACACACCAAAACUCUUAAAACCCUUGAAAGAUUUGGUGAAAACCAUGGAAAACAUGAAAGUCAACUUGGGAGAGGCUUGAACUCACCUCUGGCUGCAAGUGGAGGAGAAAUAUCCUCCUUCCACCGACCUUUGGCCCUUAAAUAGGUGGCUGGCCAGACCACCUUCGGCAGCCGAAUGUGAAUCCGAAACCAUGCAAUGUUCGGCGGCCGAAAGUGACCUUCGGCGGCCGAACCUUUGCAUUUCUCCCUUCUUGCUUUUCUUUCAAAACUCAUUUCCUUUAACACUUUAAACCAUUCAAAAC